rnacentral:rRNA from 1 species
ACUCCUACGGGAGGCAGCAGUGGGAAUAUUGCACAAUGGGGAAGCCAUCGAUGCAGCCAUGCCGCGCUGUGUGAAGAAGGCCAAUUCGGGCUUGGUAAGACACUUUCAGUAGGGAGGAAGGUAGUGUAGUUAACACCUGCACUAUUUGACGUUACCUACAGAAGAAGCACCGGCUAACUCCGUGCCAGCAGCCGCGGUAAUACGGAGGGUGCGAGCGUUAAUCGGAAUUACUGGGCGUAAAGCGCAUGCAGGCGGCCUGUUAAGUCAGAUGUGAAAGCCCGGGGCUU